UACGGAGGGAGCUAGCGUUGUUCGGAAUUACUGGGCGUAAAGCGCGCGUAGGCGGCUUGGCAAGUUGGGGGUGAAAUCCCGGGGCUUAACCUCGGAACUGCCUCCAAAACUGCCAAGCUAGAAUCCUGGAGAGGUGAGUGGAAUUCCUAGUGUAGAGGUGAAAUUCGUAGAUAUUAGGAAGAACACCAGUGGCGAAGGCGACUCACUGGACAGGUAUUGACGCUGAGGUGCGAAAGCGUGGGGAGCGAACAGG
rnacentral:misc_RNA from 1 species